UACGUAGGGUGCGAGCGUUGUCCGGAAUUACUGGGCGUAAAGAGCUCGUAGGUGGUUUGUCGCGUUGUUCGUGAAAACUCACAGCUUAACUGUGGGCGUGCGGGCGAUACGGGCAGACUGGAGUACUGCAGGGGAGACUGGAAUUCCUGGUGUAGCGGUGGAAUGCGCAGAUAUCAGGAGGAACACCGGUGGCGAAGGCGGGUCUCUGGGCAGUAAACUGACGCUGAGGAGCGAAAGCGUGGGGAGCGAACAGG
rnacentral:rRNA from 1 species